GAAGGAUGGGGGAGAAGGAGGGAGAGGGUGCUCUCUGCCUCGUGGAUGGGUGAGGAGAGGCCAAGGAGGAGCAGAGGGAGCCGACAGGGAGCCCACAGCUCUCGGUGGCAGCGUAGAGGUGGGCACUGGAAUGGCCUGGGGAUGCUCAGGGGAAGGCAGGACCUGUGUGGAAGGAGCCUGGAGGAGGGGGAAGGAAAGAAAACAAGGGAUUGCAAGGAGGAGGUGGCAGGCUCCACAGCAGAACCGGAGCCAGACUCGUUCUACAGCCGAGUGUCGUGUCUGGGGGGAUGCGCACAUGGGAGUGAGACACCCCAAAAUCCCUCUGGCAUCGCUCACCCAGCAGAUGCCGGCCAGAGGAGCCACGCAGCAGCUCCAAGGAGGAGCAGCACCCAAAAAUGUGCAAACCAUUCCCAAAACCCUCGCUCAUCUCCGCGUGACCCGGGAAAUCUGGGGUGCUGAUUGGCACCAGCACUUCCCUCCCCUCUCCAGGCAUGGGACACUCCUGAGCCCUGGAUGAUCACACUCACUCCUGGGAGCAACCAGGUUCCAAAGGGUGGGGAGCUGAGGUGAAAUGUAAAUGUGGAAUUUUAAGGCGAGCAACAAUUGAAUUUGGGCAAAACUGCUGAUUUCAGCCUUACAUCUUUUCAAUCCAUUUUAUGAAGAAGGAUCAAGAAAUCACUUUUAUUCACCCAUCAUUCAGGGCAGCCAAGACCUGGACUGCCUCCAUCCCUGCAAAAGGUGGGAAUUACAGAGUCCUUGUGGUCAAACCAUUCUGCUCACUGUUGCCUUCAGCACCUAAAUGUGCUUUAAAAUGCUCUGGGGUAGCCACUGAGAGGGGACUGCAGUGCCAAAGUUGUGGCUGUCCCAUCCCUGGAAGUGUCCAAGGCCAAGCUGGACAGGGCUUGGAGCAACCUGGGAUGAGAUUAUCUUUAUUUUCCCUUCCAACCCAAUCCAUUCUGUGACUCCAUGAAGGUGCUCAGUGCUUCACCAAUGCUUUUUCCCUGACCCCCUCUCCCUUGUGGCUGUCCCAGCUCCCCCCCAGAGGGGGAUGAGGGGGAGGAGGGAGGUUAUUACACAAUGUUUUUGUUCCACUGACAAAUUCCCCUCUGCCAGUUGGAACAGGCUGCUCAUAAAUUUCAGGCUUUCUGGAGGGGUUUCAGGAGUUUUGCAUUCUUAGAUCAUUGUCUGCCUUUUCCCAGGAACAAUGGGGGUGGAAGGGAGCUGCCCCAGAAAUGCCAAGUGCUACGAGGGGAUCUCUCUUGGAUAGGGAAUGCUCCCUCCCCUGCUUCAGCUCCAGCCUGGGUAUCCAAGGAGGCAGCUCAGAGGGAAGCAGGAAUGCUGCUGACAGUGCCCUGUGGAGACCUGCAAAGGUCAGCUCCUUCCUGCCACUCCAGAAAGGAGAUUGGAGGGAUCAUCUUGUGGUUAUAAGGUGGAAAUUGAUAUAUCAUGUUCUGCAGGGAUUCUUUCUCAUUCCAAAUGAGGCAGAGAGGUGGGACAUCUUGCUGCUUAGAAAGUGUGGGGUUUUUUUCUUACCUUCUACAGAAAAGCUGAGUUCUUCUUACAGGUGUUGAGUGUGACACCAGAAGUCACAAGACUUACGGUUACAAGAUCUUUUAAGGACUUAUUAACCAAUAAAACACUGCCAACAAGAAUAUUUAUGUUUCUAAUCCAAUCCUAAGAAAUUUUGUCUAAUUACAGCGUGACCUUUCUCAGCCAAUCCUGUUCCAACACAUAGAUCUAUCCUUAAGGCUAUUCUGUCAUCUUUAUACCUACUUUAUUCUUUCUGUAUCUUAAACUUUAUAUCUAAACCUUUUCCUACUUCACCUAUCAUGUCUCUGCUUUAAACUUUAAAUCUACAUUCUUCCUUCUAGCACCUAAGCUUGGAAACUUUUCCCAAGGCUUCAGUUCGAAUCCUGUGUUCUUUCCCAGGCUUUGAUCUGCAGACCCAACGUUUUGAGGAUUUCUUGCAUUGUGAACUCCAGCAGGGAUGGCCCAUGCUGUGGGUGCUCAGCCUGAGAUGCUGCUCAGCACCUCCUGCACUCCCAGCUGUGAACACCUUGGCAGGCUCAGCACCUCCCUCAGCACCCUGGGGACUGGGGCUGUGGAGAAAAUCUUGUCCUGCAGGUGAAUUAAAACUGAAAGCCUGUUGCAAGUGUGUUGGGUUGAUGUGGCCAGAAAUGUGAAUUCUGUCCCCAUCUGCUGCAGCCGGGUGGGGCAGUGGGGGGGGGG
rnacentral:lncRNA from 1 species